UCCACACUGUCCGCAACGUGUAUCUCUGCCCAUGGCUGCAGCUGGGUGGAUACAGUUUGGGCCUGAUUGGUGAUUGUCACGUUAAAGAUCCCAUAGCUACGUCUUAGAUCCACCGUCCACCACGGCUGGUACUCGUAGCUGGUUUUACUGCAGGAUCCCUUCAAGUAAUCCGGGUUGGUGUCCCCAUCUAUUGAGUGAUAUAGAUGGGGACAAAAAUAGCUGAGCUGGAAACAUAGCGGAGUUGGAGAGUUUUUUCACUUCGGUUAUUUUUAUUGAAAAUGUAAAUUUACUUUGAAUUCCUG